AAGACAGAGAACGCACACAAAGGCCCCAAGAGCGUAUCUAGCGCCCGAAAAUGCGGUGAGCUUGCAGGACACAGGCAGAGAUACGAGGGAACCGUCGCUUCCACACCGACACGGGAACGAAGGAACAGACAGUAAUAUUGCAGACUAAAAAAUAGCCGGGAGGUGUAAAACAUAGGGUCAGUUCCCAAGACAGGGCCGCCGCACGGGGGAGGCUCCACCCCACAAUUGUUUUCAGCGGCCAUAGGCACUUCUUUCCCCGCCCGUUUCCCAGCAGUGAAAGUACACGGAUUCAAGACUCACCAACGGGCGGGGCGGCGGCCCAUGGCGACACCAGGAUCUUCAGUGGCUGCAACGAAAAAGAGAGAGUCGGAACGGAAGACGAGAACAGACCUAAAAGGUGUGAGAACCAGCAACGGCACCGCAAGAGACGACAACUGCGCUUACUCACCACACCGAAGGGAAAGAGGCGCUCCUCCGCCUGCGCAUGGCUUAUAUAGGCGGUCUGUCUGCGCGCGUAAGAACCAUAGAGUCCUGUCGAAGACGGGUGGACGCUCUGUCAGACGUCAUGACCAUAGACGCAGCCGCUCUUGGCGCUUGCGCCCGGGCGUAGCCCAGCACAUGCGCAGAUCAGAGAGGUGACCGGGUACCAGGGCCGCGGGCGGCCAGCUGACGAAUGGGGCUUCGCCACAUGGUCGCGAGAAGCCCGCUUCCGGCUGGCCAUCUUGGGCGUAGAACUCUUGCCCUAGGCUUUGCCGUUAACUGUGACAGACGUAUAUUUCUGAGAGUGGAAAAAAGGAAAGUACCCUAGGUGGGCCUCCCGGCGACCGCGAGAGUGUCCCUGAGCUUGCACGGGUCUCGGACACGCGCUCCGUGCCUCCUUCUAGGCUAGAGGCCCCGGCGGUGAAGCGCCAUACGGGGAUCUGGGCCCGCGUUCCUUUGUCAACCCGGGAGGCCGGAGGGGGAGACCCAUUCCCCUACCGGAGAGGCUGGACCAGGCCUUGCUGGGAGCCAUGCCCCGUAUCCCCGUUUCCUGGAGACCCAGGGUUCGCACAUUGCCGCGGGGAAGAGGUCGAGGAGAAAUCUCCACGGAGACUCAUGGCCUGGGAAACCCCGGGGCAUCUCUAGCCCCGCUCCGCCCACCCUGACCCGCACCGUCCCGACCAGCUGCGUCUCGGGCGCCGCCUCCCAUGAGCCGCUCUCGCCUGGGCACCGCCCCACCUCGCCCUUCCCACUCCACUGUGCUCAAGAGUCCCUCCGGACGGAGUCUCACUGUGUCACCCAGGCUGGAGUGCAGUGGUGCGAUCUCGGCUUGCUGCAACCUUCACCUCCCGGGUUCAAGCGAUUCUUCUGCCUCAGCCUCCCGAGUAGCUGGGACUACAGGCACACGCCACCACGCCCAGCUAAUUUUUGUAUUUUUAGUAGAAACGAGGUUUCACCAUAUUAGCCAGGCUGGUCUCGAACUCCUGACCUCGUGAUCCACGCGCCUCAGCCUCCCAAAGUGCUGGGAUUACAGGCGUGAGCCACCGCGCCCGGCCGCAUAAUGGGUCUUAACUUGGCUAAUUAUGUGGGUGAUUGCACAGAAAAAUAGUAUAAAUAACUUCAUGCUUUUUUAUACAUGGGAUAACUUGCUUCAAGUUGUUUCAAAAACGUUUUUUUUUUUUUUUUUUUGAGACAGAAUCUUGCUCUGUCACCCAGGCUGGAGUGCCGUGGUGCGAUCUCGGCUCAGUGCAACCUCUGCCUCCUGGGUUCAAGCGAUUCUCCUGCCUCAGCCUCCUGAGUAGUUGGGAUUAUAGGCGAGGGCGCCACCACGCCCGGCUAAUUUUAUAUUUUUAUUAGAGACAGAGUUUCACUAUGUUGGUCAGGCUGGUCUCAAACUCCUGACCUCAAACGAUCCACCCGCCUCGGCCUCCCGAAGUGCUGGGAUCACAGGCGUGAGCCACCGCGCCCGGCCUCAAACACCUCUCAAUGAUUCGCUUGAGUAUGUGUAAAGUGAUGCACAGGCCACCCUGAAGACCUUGGUGGUUUCUAUUGAAACUACACAUCAAGCCGGGCGCGGCGGCCGGUGCGCGGUGCCCAGAAUCCCAGCACUUUGUGAGGCUGGGGUGGAUCACCUGAGCCCAGGAAUCCCAGACCAACCUGGGCGAAAAAGCGAGACCCCAUCUCUACAAAAAGUAAAAAAUUAGCCGGACAUGGUGGUGGCGUGCGCCUGUAGUCCCAGCUACACGGAAGGCUGAGGCUGGAGGUUGAAGCCCUCGCUGGGGUGGAGAGGUCAAGGCUGUAGUGAGCCCUCAUCGCGCCACUGCACUCCAGACUGGGCGCAGAGUGAGACCCUGACUCAAAAAGAAAGAAAAGGAAAGAAAGAAGGAAAGAAAGGAAGAAAGAAAGAGAAUUACAAAUAAAGCUACACAUCCACUUCUA